rnacentral:rRNA from 1 species
GACGAACCGUGCGAACGUUGUUCGGAAUAACUGGGCUUAAAGGGAGCGUAGGCGGGCUAUCAAGUCUGGGGUGAAAUGCCGCGGCUCAACCGUGGAACUGCCUCAGAUACUGACGGCCUCGAGGGAGAUAGGGGCAUGCGGAACUGUAGGUGGAGCGGUGAAAUGCGUUGAUAUCUACAGGAACUCCGGUGGCGAAAGCGGCGUGCUGGAUCUCUUCUGACGCUGAGGCUCGAAAGCUAGGGGAGCAAACGGG